rnacentral:rRNA from 1 species
CAUAAAAUUUUAAUUAAUAAUAUGGUAUAAUAAAAUCGGAGGCCACGACUGUUUACUAAAAACACAAUUCAGAGCAAUAAUUAAGAUAAUAGUAUUCUGGAUGAAAUUUGCUCAAUGCCAUUAAUAUAAAAGAGGUAAUUUUAAAGUUACUAAUUGAAAGUCUGGUUAAUAGCGGUCUUAACUAUGAGGAUCCUAAGGUAGCAAAAUAAAUUGGCCAUUAAAUGUGGUCUUGUAUCAAUAAUGUAACGAUGGUCUCACUGUCUCUACAACUUGCUCAGUGAAAUUGAAUUGCGAGUGCAGAUGCUCGCUGUCUUCAGGGGACAGGA